UGCGUGUGUGUGUGUGUGUGUGUGUGCAUGAGGGACAAAGACAGAGAGAGGUUACUUGAUGCUUUGUGUCAUGGUGUCAGGUGGCAUCAGCCUGUAGAUGGGAAGAUAAAAAUGAAAGACAAUCGAUAUCCGAGCACUGAAAUUGUUCUCAUCUGCUGCCGCCCUCUUGCACUACAUGUGUCCACGCACAUCUGCUGCUCUACCAUGUGGAAAACGGUUUGACUCGUAAACGAGAUGUUAUUCACAAAGUGAUGCCGUUGUACUGCUUUAAUGUCUGAUGCUGAAGUCAAAACGCAUGAAAAAGGAAAUGAUGUUGUGAAUGUGAAUUUUAAGCACAAACCAGUUACAGUUUGUUUCUCUCAAUGCGAUUGUAUUUUCCCUGUUAUAUCACAAAUGCUGCACAAGAAGCACAAUGAAUUAAUAAAUAACCACUUGGUUGUGUUUUCUAGGAGAAAAACAUUGGCCGGUCCGCUCCCAGAGUCACCAUGGUCCCCAUCAGCACAACUAUAACCAUGUGGCUCUAGGUAGCCCCACACGCACACCUAAGAAUGCUCACCGAUCACUGAGACGUGGUAAGUCAUACAGUACAUAUGUUUAAUUUAGUGUA
rnacentral:lncRNA from 1 species